GAUGAACGCUGGCGGCGUGCCUAAUACAUGCAAGUCGAGCGAACGGACGAGAAGCUUGCUUCUCUGAUGUUAGCGGCGGACGGGUGAGUAACACGUGGAUAACCUACCUAUAAGACUGGGAUAACUUCGGGAAACCGUAGCUAAUACCGGAUAAUAUUUUGAACCGCAUGGUUCAAAAGUGAAAGACGGUCUUGCUGUCACUUAUAGAUGGAUCCGCGCUGCAUUAGCUAGUUGGUAAGGUAACGGCUUACCAAGGCAACGAUGCAUAGCCGACCUGAGAGGGUGAUCAGCCACACUGGAACUGAGACACGGUCCAGACUCCUACGGGAGGCAGCAGUAGGGAAUAUUGCGCAAUGGGCGAAAGCCUGACGGAGCAACGCCGCGUGAGUGAUGAAGGUCUUCGGAUCGUAAAACUCUGUUAUUAGGGAAGAACAUAUGUGUAAGUAACUGUGCACAUCUUGACGGUACCUAAUCAGAAAGCCACGGCUAACUACGUG
rnacentral:rRNA from 1 species